rnacentral:misc_RNA from 1 species
AAAACAAAUUAAUCGGUACAACAGAAAGAACUUAAAACCACUGCAUGCUGCUCAAACUAAAAAUCAGUGACACCAUCGCAGAGAGAAAGUGAAAAGACAGAGACCAACUACAGAGAGAGAGAAAGAGAGAGAGUGACAGAGAGAUAGUGAGAGACCAUGCUCAGUUCUCUGGAUGCGCUGGCUGGCAAAAUAGCCAAAGCGACGCCGGCAACUGGCGCCAUUUCGGCCAGCGGCAAUGGCAAUAAGCCAACAAUGAACAAUAAUAGUGCACAUCAUCCGGCGCAUCAGCAUCAUCCUCAUCAUCUUCAUCCGGGCACGCGUACCAUGGACUAUGAUUACUCCGCUGUCGAAAUCGAACCACCCGCCGAACAGUUGGCGAACUCGCCGCGCAGCGAACGCGAGCGGCUGCAACAGGCGCAACACGCCUAUGAGCAGCAAUCGCAAGCCGAGUUGGAAUUUGGACUCGCCGAUGUGGACACGAAAAGCUGCCUAACACUGCUCACCCACAGACGCAGCAGCAACAAUGUGCAACAGCAACAGCAGCAGCAGCAGCAGCAACAUAAUCAACAGGCGGGCAAAUCGAAUCAUGCCCGACAACAGCAGCAGCAUUAUCAUCAUCCCUAUCAGCGUCCAUUGCGGCCAGUGUCACCUGUGGUUGCACAACACGGUCAGCAACAGCAGCAUAAUCAUCAAAGCCAAUCGCCAUAUCAGCAGCAGUUAUCACAUUUGGCCGCACUCCAGGAUCAUCAUCAGGAGCUGUUGCAAUCGCAACAGGAACUAUUUCACAAGCAGCUAAUCAACUUGCAACAGCAACAGGAAAGAGAACGUCAUGUUGCCGCCGCUAAUAAUUAUAAUGAUAGCUGCAACAACAGUGACCACGACUCACAGCAUGAGUAUAAAAUUUGCCUGAGGGAUAGUGCAUUUGGUAUGAGCGAUAAGAGCAGCAGCGCCACAAACAGCCUGCCAAAUAGUCCCAUCCACAGCAACAACAACAACAACAACAAUUCAUCGCUGCUCAACAACAACAACAACACCAGUUCGAGUCUCGUUGGCAGCAACAAUUCGCUCACCGGCAUUCCUUUUGGCAACAGCAGCGGCGCCAACAACAACAUAAUGUCGGCCAAUUUGCUUAAUAAUAAUAAUAAUUCGUGCAGCGCCAAUCGCAACGUUGUCGGCAGCAGCAGCAUGGACGAUGAUUCGUGCUUUCGCCUCGACUCCGACUCGGCUGUCGUCACCUACGGCGAAAAGGAGCCCGAUCCCGAUAACAUCAAAAUGUUUGUCGGCCAAGUGCCCAAGUCAAUGGAUGAGGCCCAGCUGCGCGAAAUGUUCGAGGAAUAUGGACCGGUUCAUUCCAUAAAUGUUCUCCGUGACAAGGCCACGGGCAUUAGCAAAGGUUGCUGCUUUGUGACAUUUUAUACGCGUCGCGCCGCACUGAAAGCUCAGGACGCACUCCACAAUGUGAAAACGCUGAAUGGGAUGUAUCAUCCCAUACAAAUGAAACCCGCCGAUAGCGAGAAUCGCAAUGAACGCAAACUGUUCGUGGGCAUGCUAAAUAAGAAGCUAAACGAGAACGACGUGCGUAAACUAUUUGAAGUCCACGGUGGCAUCGAGGAGUGCACCGUACUCCGGGAUCCCAACGGUCAGAGCAAGGGUUGUGCCUUUGUCACAUUCGCCACCAAACACGCUGCCAUCUCGGCCAUUAAAGUGACUUUGAGUCAGAAUAAAAUCAUGGAGGGCUGCACAUCGCCGCUGGUUGUCAAAUUUGCGGACACACAAAAGGAGAAGGAACAGAAGAAGAUCCAGCAAAUUCAGGCGAAUUUGUGGAAUCUGGCCACAAACAUAAAUAUACCACUGGGCCAAACGGCAACCACAGUGUCCACACCGAUACUGCCAAACCCACCGCAACAGCCGUCGCCAGUGUUGGGAGCCGAUGCUCUGACACCAGCCAGCAUUCAAUUGCUGCAGCAGCUGCAAACAGUUGGACUGCAGCAGCAGCUGUUGCAAGCACUCACUGGCUUGGGUGCCGCUCAGCAAAACAAUGCCACGCAGGAUACGGCAAAUGCCGCGGCAGCAGCUGGUCUACUAAAUCCACUUUCCGUACAGAAUCUGGCAGCAAUUGCGGCCAUGACACAACCGAGUCUUACCAAUUCGGCCAACUCGCCGGGCAGUGCCCAGUUGACCAAUACGGCGGCUCUCUUAUGGUCUGAUCCGAAUCCAUUGGCAUCGGCGUAUAUGUCAACAGCUGCUGGCUUACCGCAAUUUGGAAGUUCCGCCGCCCUGUCCACCUCACCGCUGGCCAGCGUUGCGCUGAGCGCCGCGGCGGCCGCUGCUGCCGGCAAGCAGAUUGAAGGGCCUGAAGGCUGCAAUCUGUUCAUAUAUCAUUUGCCGCAGGAGUUUACGGAUACCGAUUUGGCAUCGACGUUCUUGCCCUUUGGCAAUGUCAUCUCGGCCAAGGUGUUCAUCGAUAAGCAGACGAGUCUGUCGAAAUGCUUUGGAUUCGUUUCAUUUGAUAAUCCGGAAUCGGCACAGAUGGCCAUUAAGGCAAUGAAUGGUUUCCAGGUGGGCACGAAGCGUUUGAAGGUGCAGCUAAAGAAGCCCAAGGAUGCUUCCAAGCCCUAUUAGCGACAGCUGAAACACUGAUAGAUUCAACUGGAGAAGAAGAAGAAGAACAACCAACAACCAACAACAACAACCAACAACUAACAACAUCAACUUAAGCAACUUAAACAAACAACAAUAGCUAAAAAAGCAAGAGGAAGAAAUGUUUACUAAGAAAAAGAGAAAAACAACCCAACCGAAGUAUGUCAAAUGGAGUAGUCUAAUUAUUAAAAAGAGUCACCCGUGUGGACUAUAACUAAAAAACCAAAUCAAGAAGUCUACGUUCUUCCCAGUUGACGUUCACUAAAGUUGCAUUAGAAUUUGCCUAAUUUAUGCCAUUUUACUAAGGAGAAACUCAACUGAUGCUGCUAACCAGAGUCCUAAGUUGUUUGCUGUUUUGUAUAGCUUUUUGGUCCCAAUAUAUAUAUAUAUUGUACAUACUAUAACUAUGCUGCCCAUCAAAAAUUGCUGUCACAAACGAAUUCGCAACAAGUGUAAAUUUUUAAAGCCUAUAUAUAUUUGUAAAAAAAAAAAACGAAAACUUUAUAAUGGAUAUUUGUA